rnacentral:rRNA from 1 species
CUGCUGCCUCCCGUAGGAGUUUGGGCCGUGUCUCAGUCCCAAUGUGGCCGUCCACCCUCUCAGGCCGGCUACUGAUCGCUGCCUUGGUGGGCCGUUACCCCGCCAACUAGCUAAUCAGACGCGGAUCCAUCGUAUACCACCGGAGUUUUUCACACUGCCCCAUGCGGAGCCGUGCGCUUAUGCGGUAUUAGCACCUAUUUCUAAGUGUUACUCCCCCGGUAUACGGCAGGUUAUCCACGCGUUACUCACCCGUCCGCCACUAA